CCUACGGGUGGCUGCAGUGGGGAAUAUUGGGCAAUGGGCGCAAGCCUGACCCAGCAACGCCGCGUGAAGGAAGAAGGCCCUCGGGUUGUAAACUUCUUUUAUUCGGGACGAAACAAAUGACGGUACCGAAUGAAUAAGCCACGGCUAACUACGUGCCAGCAGCCGCGGUAAUACGUAGGUGGCAAGCGUUAUCCGGAUUUACUGGGUGGAAAGGGCGUGUAGGCGGGAGUGCAAGUCAGACGUGAAAUUCCAGGGCUCAACCCUGGAACUGCGUUUGAAACUGUUCUUCUGGAGUGAUGGAGAGGAUAGUGGAAUGCCAGGUGUAGGAGUGAAAUCCGUAGAUAUCGGGAGGAACAUCAGUGGCGAAGGCGACUAUCUGGCACAUAACUGACGCUGAGGAGCGAAAGCGUGGGUAGCAAACAGGAUUAGAUACCCCUGUAGUC
rnacentral:rRNA from 1 species